rnacentral:rRNA from 1 species
UACGUAGGAGGCGAGCGUUGUCCGGAGUUACUGGGCGUAAAGGGUGCGCAGGCGGCGGUUCGCGUGGCGAGAUGAGAUCUCCUGGCUUACCUGGGAGGAUGGUCGCCAGACGGGAUCGCUUGAGGGUCGGAGAGGGGCGUGGAAUUCCGGGUGGAGCGGUGAAAUGCGUAGAGAUCCGGAGGAACACCGGUGGCGAAGGCGGCAUCCUGGACCGGUAUUGACGCUGAUGCGCGAAAGCCAGGGGAGCAAACGGG